rnacentral:rRNA from 1 species
ACGCUGGCGGCGUGCUUAACACAUGCAAGUCGAACGAUGAAGCCGGAGCUUGCUCCGGUGGAUUAGUGGCGAACGGGUGAGUAACACGUGAGCAAUCUGCCCUUGACUCUGGGAUAACUGCGGGAAACUGUAGCUAAUACCGGAUACGACACCUUGGGGCAUCCCAGGGUGUGGAAAGAAUUUCGGUCAAGGAUGAGCUCGCGGCCUAUCAGCUAGUUGGUGAGGUAAUGGCUCACCAAGGCGACGACGGGUAGCCGGCCUGAGAGGGUGACCGGCCACACUGGAACUGAGACACGGUCCAGACUCCUACGGGAGGCAGCAGUGGGGAAUAUUGCACAAUGGGCGAAAGCCUGAUGCACCAACGCCGCGUGAGGGAUGAAGGCCUUCGGGUUGUAAACCUCUUUUAGCAGGGAAGAAGCGAAAGUGACGGUACCUGCAGAAAAAGCACCGGCUAACUACGUGCCAGCAGCCGCGGUAAUACGUAGGGUGCAAGCGUUGUCCGGAAUUAUUGGGCGUAAAGAGCUCGUAGGCGGUUUGUCGCGUCUGCUGUGAAAAUCCAAGGCUCAACCUCGGACCUGCAGUGGGUACGGGCAAGCUAGAGUGCGGUAGGGGAGAUGGGAAUUCCUGGUGUAGCGGUGGAAUGCGCAGAUAUCAGGAGGAACACCAAUGGCGAA